rnacentral:lncRNA from 1 species
UCCAGUUGAAAUGCGUUACAUGAGCAUGGUUUUUCCUUGAGGCAAACAAUGAAAUGCGUUUCUUUUGUCAUGCAUCAUGUACACAUACUCUGUGGCUGGUAUAACCUAAUAAUAUUUUUAAAAAGUUAAAUUAAAAAAGGUCAAACACAAAGUUGUAAAUGCAUAUGCUACAAAAUGAUGCGAAAUAUAUAUUUGUUUUUUUUUUAAAACACAGCUGCAAAAUGCAAAUAUACAUAUUGCUAACAACAUAUGAAUUUUUUAUGUUUACUACAUAUGUGUACUUGUAAAUACAAUAACAGAUUUAAUACCAACAAAUUUCACAAAUAUACAUAUGAAUUACUGCAUAUGUAUUUAACAGUGAACAUUGAUUAUUGCAUAUUAUUUACUGCAUAUGUAUUUUUCUGCAUAACAAAGAACGUUGACUAACUUAACAGUUCUUUUUAAAGCACAUAUGUCCAUAGAUAUUAAACAUACAACAACAUAUACAUUUCAUACCAAUAUGCAGUAAUCAAUGUUAAACUUAAAACACAAUUGCAAUAAAUUUGUUAAACUUAAAUACAAACACAACCUAAAUUUUCAGCAGAAAAUAUAAUUGCAACAAAUUUGUUAAACUUAAAAUACAAACACAAUCAAAAUUUCUAGCAGAAAAUAUAAUAACAAAUUAUUUGUUCUAAGUUAACUACAGACAAAGAUGUUGACCUCCAUAAUCGAACACAACUAAUAUAUAUAUAUAUAAUCCAAAUUAUCAAAAUUAUAGAAAUAGUCUUAAAUUUUGAGAAUUAGACCUCUAAAAAAUAGAUUUUGAUAACUUUUUUAUUCUACCUGUUGAAUUUAAUACUGCAUUGCUUUUAACUCAAAAUUCAUUUAUAAAUUUUUUAAAAAAAAUUAACGACGACAACAAAAAAUUGAACGGAGCAUCAGUAAUGGUUGAAAAAAAAAAUUUGAAUCGAAAAAUAAUACUGAUUAAGUACCUUCAACAACAGUAAUGGUUGAAUUUGCAAUCGAUUGUUGAAUUCAAAUAAAUUGAACUGAAAAAUCUACAAUUGAAUUUGAUUCAACAACAUUAAUGCUUCAUUUUGAAACUGAUGUUGAAUUCGAAGAAAUUUCAAUCGAAUUUGAUUCAACAACAGUAAUGGUUGAAUUUCAAAGCGACGGUUGAAUUCGAACAAAUUGCAUAGAAAAAGGUUCAAAUGAUUUUGAUUUUGCAAUUUUUUUUUCUUUGGAUGAACAUGUUAAUGGAAAAAAUUGAAAUUUGAAUUUUUCUUAGUGUUGUUAACAUAUAAUGAAAAUCACGUGAUUUAAGAGGUUUUAAUGAAAAAAGAAUCUAUACAUUUAAUUAAUGGGUAAUUAUACCAUAUUUAGCUCAACUACUUUCAGUUAAUUAAGGACAGUAAAAUUAGCUGUAUAUGUAUUUUUAUAGCAACAGUUUCUAAAAAUACAAAAUACAAGUUGCUAUACUAAGUAAUUAUGAAAGUGUUGCUAUGAAACUGAUAAUUAUGGUCUUAAGUAUGCUAUUUGUGAAUUUUUCCCGGUUAUGGACUAUGAAUUUUUAUUAGUAACAUCAACUCUGAAAGUUAAAACAAUAUUUAGCUAAAUUUUGACUCAUAGUUGUAAUAACAAUAGUGUCAUUUGAUCUAUGCUAAGUCCGAACCCAAACUAUAUUAGCAUUUAUAUUUAUAAUUUUUCGAAUAUAACUUACAUAAAUCUCAAUCCUUUAGUAUCUAAUUACUCUCUAUAUUCGCUCUUUUUUAAAUUACAUAAAAUCUCUGCUUUUGAAGCAAACGGAUACAUCUUAUUACUCCAGAUACAUCAUUUUUUUUGACAUAUAGCUAACCAAUCAGUGGAAUUUUAAAAAAAUAACAAAAAUCUAAUCAAUUGUCACAUAAUUCAUGUGAUCACAUAUUUGUGACUGUUUUUGUAUCUUUGAUAAUGCAUAAAAAAUUCAAAAAUUUAAAUUUCAAUUACCAGAUCAAGCUAGUUCAAGCAAAUUCUUUCCAAUCUUGCAUCUCAAGUUUUUAAUUUUGAUUUUUAUUUUUCAGAUACAUCAUGAACAUCUCGAUUUUGUUAAGAAAUUCUGUUUGAUUUUCGGAUAUCAAAUAUAAAGGAUAUAAAUAUGAUGAAAUUGUAACUAAAGAGAAUAUAUUGUAUAUGAAUUCAAUUUUGGCUAUCGUAGCUGAAUUGAAAAUUAAUAAAUUCAGGAAAAUUAUUAAAAUUCAAUACAUCGUAGAAGGUAAUUCCUCACCAAUGAGAUUCAUAAGAUAAUUCACACAUAAUGCAUUAAAAAUAUAUAUAUAUUGUAUAUAAGUAUCACAGGACCAUCGUGGUACAUAAUUCUUAUGUAUCAGUAAAACAUAGAUCUCAUUUUGAUACAUAAGUCUUAUGUAUCAAUAAUACAAAAAAUAUUUCAAAACAGAUACAUUAUUUUUAUGUGAGAAUUGGAUCAAAAUAGUGUCAAAUAAGGGACAAUUUCAAUAAAUGGGUUUGUUAGAUUUUUCAUGACCAGAAUGGUGAAAACGCAUGAACAUAGAGCACCUUCAAUGUACAAUUUUCACGUUAAAAAAUAGACAGACGUUAAAAUAUAUUUACACUGAAGGUGCUCUACUUUCACGAGUCUUCAGUGAAUCUUUUACAUUUUAAGAAAAGGCUCAUUGAUAGUCAUGAGUCUUCUGUGAAUUUUACAUUUUUGAAUAAAAACUCAUUUCCUUCAAUGCACCUUCAACAUAAAUUUUAUUAUCUCGAAAUCUCAAAAGACUGUCAUCGACUGAAUUGAUGGAACAAGAGAAGACCAUUCUUUCACACACUAAAGACUCAUCUUUACAAUGCACCUUCAGUCAAAUUACAAAAACACCUUUCAGAGUUUUCUCCAAAAAAUAAUUCUUUAUCUUCACUCAUCUCAACUUUACAAAAUCACUAUCUUUACCUGAGGUCCCCCUUCUUCAUCUCAAUAAAAUAUAUUUACAUUAAAGGUGCUCUACUCUCACGAGUCUUCAGUAAAUUUUUUACAUUUUAAAGAAAGGCUCAUUAAUCGUCAUGAGCCUUCUGUGAAAUUUACUGUUCAAGAAUCUGAAAAAGGUUGCCAUUUUCUGAAUUGAUGGGAUAAUAGGGGAUAACUUUUUUCAUAUCCUAAAGACUCAUGGACAGCAAUGCACUUUCCACCAAAUUAAAAAUACACUCUUAUGCAGAGUGUCCUAAAAGUUAUUUUUUGUGCCUCUAUAUAUACGUACAUCCUCUUCAUUGUCAUGUAUAUUACUAAAUUCACAAAAACUAUUAUACUUUACAAUUGAUGUAUCCUUCAAUCUGAAUUAAAGUAAAAAGGUUAGUAAUUUUUUCUUAGUAUAUUGCUCUCCCUAUUGAGUAAAUAAUUUAUUAAUAACUUAAGUUAUUUUUACAGGUUUAAAAAUAUCGAAUGAGUGUCAUGUUAAAGUUACAUUGUAUUGCGUCGGCGAUGUCAUAUAUGAAUCUGAUACAGUUAGAUAUAGUUGUGUUGCUUGUGCAGUUGUUAAACUUUCACUAAAUGUUGAGUAUGAUUGGCUAGUUAGAAACUUACUUAUUAGAAUGAAAACUAAUCCAAAUGAGAUAAGGUUUGUUAUUUUGAAAAUAUGGUCAUUUUCAACUGUGCAGGAUAAUGCUCAUUAUUUUGAAAUUCCCAUACUUGAUAAUGAGUCUUUGCAAAUAUUUAUGGUGGUACCUGAUACGGUGUGUUAUAUGAUGAAUAUUGAUUUAUUGAAGAUGUAUAUUAAAACAGAAGCAUUAGAUGUUGUUGAACCUACACAUUACAAAUGACCCCCAAAGCAUUACAAGUUUACAACGAGGCUAUACACUUUUGGCACGCCAAAUCUUUACCAACCUCGCAACCCACUGUGAGUUUUUCAUUGAGAUUUACUGGAGUACAGAAUUAACACUUGUUUUUAUACCCAUUAUCAUAUACAACCAACCAAUGAAUAUGACAAUUUAACAGCAGGUUAAUCCAACAAACAUUUCUCAACUUUAAACAUAAGACAAUAAAAACAAAAAUAUUUAGCAAGUAUAAGAGCUGGAAGACUCUAUUGACUGCUAUAUAAAACUCUUUUAUGAUCUUGUAAAUUGUAAUGUAGAGUGGGAUUUUACUAAUAAUAUCACAUAACUUUAUGGCCAUCCAGAACUUACGUAAGGAAGCUGAAAGUAAAGCAUAAUUAUGCAGAUAAUUAUAAGGUAGUGUUGUACCAAAAUUUCAUGUCUGCCUGUAAAACACUGAUAACCUUAUCUAAAUUGAUGAUCCGAAUUAUUGAUCAAAUGACGAGUAAUUGUGUUAUACCAUUGCACAUAUUUUUUGUCAUCUUCGAGACAAUCAGGCUCAACAUUGUGAUUUCGUCUAUCUCUCCAGAUUUCAACCUCUUUACUUAAGAAAUGAUGUCAAUUAAAGUUAGCUCUACCUCUCCGAUUCAACUGAAAAUGUUUGGGAUCACACAAUAUUCUACUCGGAAUAUUUCGAAUCAACCCAAACUGACAUAGUACCCUAUCUGGAUAGUGCAACUCAACUACAUCCCAAGCUAUUAUGGGUACAAUAUCACGUCAAAUACUGAAACUAUUCACACAAUAAUCUGGUAAUGUAGUAAAAACAUCGGGACUAUAUGGCUGCCACACAAACUAUAUACAUAUAAAUUUAGUUAGUUUUUAUGACUUAAAAAAUUAAAAAAAAGAUAGAUAAAGCAAUUAUUCAAAAGUAAAAAAUACCUAACAUUCUAUAAGUAAAUUCAGUUGAUCACGAAAUAAAUAUAAUAGGCGAGGUGCUUCUGUAUCGUGGCAUAACCCAUUAGACCAGACACGAGCACGUGAUGGUCCUGGAAGGAUAGAAAUAAGCCACUCGUCAACUAGGAGAUUAGGAUCUCUCUGAGGCCUGAGAGGCAAAAUCCUAUCAUAUAUCUAUACCUUCACAUAUUCAUAUAAAUACAAUAAAUAAAUAUUAAAAAUGUGUUGCUUUAAGAAAAUAAAUUAAAGUAGCUAACCUGAAGUAAAGGUAAAAAACCACCAAUGACUCUAAUUCAUUUUUGCGAUGCACGACAAAGAUACCGAUAAAGUAUUGCAAGUGUUGUUGCACCCCAAGCAUAUUGACCAAUUUUGGAUAAAUCCGCAAGCAAAUAUAGAUACAUCAACUUAACUUUGUUACCCGAUGUGUCAACGACAAAUAUGCCUUCAAUAAUCCACAACAAGUACAAACGCACCCAUUGUUGAACAUCAACCUCACAACUCACAUCAGUAAUCAAAGGAAGAUUUGUAAUAUGUUUAAUCAAACAAGUCAUAAGAAAUCUACUACCCUAAAAUUCUCGAUCAAUAUCUACCCGUGUCCAACUAAAAAAAUCUAUCAUACGCGUUUGUCACUCUGUAGGGUCCAAGGUAAGAUCUAUUUCCGUCACAGAUAACCCAUCGACUGACAACCCAUAUAAUAUAGCUACGUCCUGCAACGUAAGUGUGGCCUCUCCAAAGUUUAAAUAAAAUGUGUAUGUUUCUGAUCGCCAUCUUUCUACCAACGUAGUGAUCAUAGCGUGAUCAAGUGGCGUGUGUCCAGUUACAUAUAUACCAUAAAAUUCAGCAUCGAGCAAGUAACGACACACACACUCAUGUAAUAGAUUUCUACUUAUGUAAUCCCAAAAGUCACCAUCAUACUAACAACAUGUCAAUGUGUCACAUGUGCCAUUAUUCCAAAUAUCUUCACUACGAUGACUAAUUUGUCCUACAAGGACACUCAAAUAAAUGGACCUAGAUGCACAAUAGGCGGUGUCAUAAGACCUAAAAUAUAAAGUAUGUGUUUGUUUGAUUCAAAAAUCAUUAAGCAUGAAAAGCUAAAUUGUGACAUGAAAAGCUAGAACAAAAAAUGAAGUUAACUUAUUUCUAAGAGCACUUGAAAUAAAUCAAAUUACAAAAAUAUUCUAUAGACUAUUUUAUAAGAAAAAAGUAAUAAUAGUAGUACAAUAAUAAUAUAAUAAAAAGAAUGUGAUGAAAGAUUACUAUACAAAUUUUAAGAGUAACUACAACUAAUGUAAGAAAAAAAAGAGCAUAAAGUUACCUUUUUUCUAAUUUGAAUGAUGAUUAACAUUCUAAAUUUCCAUCUUUCAAAUAAUAUUGUGAAGCUUUAUUUUUUAAUAUGUUAAAUAAAGCUUGUAGGGUCUUUAUCUUAAAGAAAAUGACAAUGGUGAAGAAGGGGGGCCUCUGAAAAAGAUAGAGACUUUCUCUUAGUAAAGUUGAGAUGAAGUCGAGAGUGUUUUUGUAAUUUGACUGAAAGUGCGUUGUAAAGAUGAGUCUUUAGUGUGUGGAAAAAUGGCCUUCUAUUGUCCCAUUAAUUCAGACGAUGACAGUUUUUUCUGAUUUCGAUAUAAUAAAAUUUAUGUUGAAGGUGCAUUGAAGGAAAUGAGUCUUUCUUCAAAAACGUAAAAUUCACAGAAGGCUCAUGACUAUCAAUGAGUCUUUCUUUAAAAUGUAAAAGAUUCACUGAAAACUCGUGAAAGUAGAGCACCUUCAUUGUAAAUAUAUUUAACGCUUGUCUAUUUUUUUUAAUGUAAAAAUUGCACACUGAAGGUGCUCUAUGUCCAUGUAUUUUCACUAUUUUGAUCAUGAAAAAUCUGACAAACCCAUUUAUUGGAAUUGUCCCUUAUUUGACAUUAUUUUGAUCCAAUUCUCAUUUUUAUGUAUCUAUACACAAAGUUCAGUAGGAUACAUAGUAUUUGUACCUUUUUAGAUGAUCCUGCAAUGUAUCUUCAUGUCCUUGACCAUUCCGCCAUUAAUAAAGGAUACCUCAUAAAGUCCGCGACACACUACUCUUCUAUACCUCCAUUGAUUUUUUCAAGUAAAAAUUUUGUGGGGGACAUACCAGAUACAUUUCAUGGAACCAUCGUCAAAUUCGAUUUCAUAUGAAAAAAAUAUGGAAUGUGACGUAAGAUAAAGAAUUAUCAGUAAAUUGAAACUUUUAAUUAAAUUGACUCGGUAGUGGUGUUCAUUGUUUUUGUUGAUUGUAUUUGUGGGUGAAGAAAAAUGGAGAAAUGGAGGAUUUUUACAUGGGUGUUAGUGCGGAUGAAUUUUGAUAUGUAUGGAGGGUUUGUUGCCCGAAAAUUCUUGAGGGAGGAGGAAGUUAGAUGUGAAGGGAGUAUUUGAUUGGUGGAGAGAAUUUCUUCAUCCGAGAAAGGAGGAGGAGUAGGUGGUGCCUUUCCAUUUUUGUG